GAGAAGAAAAGUAACCAAACCAGAAUUUGCACUAGAGAAGUUUGAAAGUUGAUCCAUUUUAAGAAGAGAGUUACAGAAAACAAAUAAGGAACCCGUUGACGUCCUAGUAGGCUGAGCUCGACGUCACUUCUUCCACAGAGUAUACACGUCAAGAACUUAAAAAGCAUUGACUUCUGCCAGAUAUGAAAUUAUUGUUUUUCUGGUGAAGAAAAGGAGCCACAGACAGGUUCUAGGUAAAACAUGAACUUUUGUCUCUUUCAAUGUGGAUUAUCUGCUAGAAUAAAAUUUAGAUGUCUAUAAAUUUUCUACAUUACUAAAAUGCUGUUCAAUCAGAUACUGUUCAAAAUAAAUCAUACUAAUGCUGAGAAAUAUUUUUCUCAGGAGACAAGCUAACCA
rnacentral:antisense_RNA from 1 species